rnacentral:other from 1 species
UUGAAUCUGAGGUGUACGCGUUAUCUCAUAAUGUAAGGUUGACCGAACACCUAUAAUUACGGUUUUUGGAAUGGCCAGCAGCUAACAUGCCACGGUACCAAGUGGAAGUUAAAAACUGGUUGACCGAGGACCACCUGCUUGAGAGCGGGUUCAACUACAGAGAUGAUUAACGGCAUCAGGCGGAUUUUCA